UUUCGGAAAAAGGGAGGGAAGGGGGCGGGCCUGGCUGGCGGCAAGUUUCCUAUUAUGCUAGGGGAAUAAGACUCCUACUGUCCUCCCCACUCCUACGCCGCCGUUAGGAGAUCAGGGCCGCAGGAUUCCAUAUUAGACUUAAGAGGCGGAGGCAGAAUUUUAAGGAGCACAGGAAAAAUUCAGAACAUUACUCAUCUUUUCCACUCGCUGAAGACUGGAGAAGGGACCUGCAUGAGAAUAUGAUGGGAGGGGGAGCAUGACUUUGCUUUUGAAGGCGGAUGAAGAUUUGUUUGUGGGGCCACCUUAAGCCUUGUUGAACCUUGCAAGUGCUUGGAGCAACAUUGAACCAGCUCUUGUUUCUGAAACUGUUACUACACCGUGCAUUCAUUUUGCUAUCCUGCGCUUGUGUAGACCAGUCUGUUGUGUGCACUUGCUACAUGUUAUAUGUGCAAUGAGCCUGCACAACAUGUGACUCGUCAGGUUGGCUGCAGCCUGCAUAAUGCAGCAAAGCAGGUGCUUGACAAUUCCUGUAAGUACAUUGACUUCAGCAGACUGGGCCACAUGUAGUGCAGGCCUAGUGCAUGCUAAGAGUACUAUGAGACACUUCCGCUAAUCCUUAUGAGAGUCGCUGGGCAUAAGAGUCAGACCAAGUUACCCAUUCUCAUGCCAAACCUAUUUGGAUUAGUUUCAUGCUCUCCGAUAACCUUGAGAUAUAUAUAUCUUUCACUCGCUGCAUUAAUGGUUUCACUGACCUUGUGCAAUUGAUCUGCAUUUUGUUGCCAGUGAGGAGACAGUUUCUUGGUACCUGCCUUUAAAGUUGUGUUGUUUGUCAAGGGUUGCAGCUCUCAUUACACUGAUAAGGCACAUUCUCCAUUUCCUGGAUUUCUCUGCUGAGGACUUCCAGAGGCCACUCUGAUUUUUAAAAUAUUGAUAAUUUUAGGAGUGGACUUUGAAUGCAAUGUUGGCAACAUACUGAAGUGCCAAACAAAAAGUGUUAAAGAAAUAACAGAGUCCAAGCCAGAAUUUUCAUUAUCACUAUACUCACGUUAGAGCUAUGGAUAGCUGAGUUGUUAUACGGAAUAUGAAAAUCUAAUUGCUUUGCACCAAAUGCAUUUUACAAAAUGCAGGAUAAAAAUAGUUCAGUGCUGUUUCUCUUCUAUGCUUUCUUUUGGAGCAAGACUGCUUUUAUGGCAGAGUUAUUACAGCCGGGUGCUUGCAAUCAAAAUGCUGAUCCAGGCAAAAUCACCACACAAUAACACUAACCCCCACCCAAGGGCUGUUUGAAGUAAUAAAAUAUGGAUCAGAAUAAAAUUAAAGUGCUUCUGUAAUAGAAGAAUAUGAGCUGCAAUUCAACUAACUUGAAGGCCCUGGCUUUUAUCCCAAAUACUGCUAAGCUUUUGAGUAGGAAAUAGAAUCCAAAGUACUCCAUCCGGCAAAGUCUUUUAAUUGUGUACCAAUAUACAAUGUAGUAUAGCUCUGCCCAUGGAAAUAAAACUUAUACAAGGUUAACAGUUAAAGUUCUCCCCAAAGAAUCUUGGGAAUCAUAGUAUUUAUGACAAUGCCAUUUAUUCUCUGAAGCGAUAGCUAGCCUUCUUCACAGAAAGUUACUUCACAAGUCUUUAGAAAGAGAAUGACAAGUUAAACCUGUCUAAGACAAUAGUGCAGAUAAGUCCUUGUAGGAUUAUUCACUGCAUGGUUAGUCACUGGCAAAAGAUCAAGCUUUGAUAGCAUAGCGUAUCUUCAUUGCAUGUUUUGCAAACAAUUUGCAAAAUAUCUGUCCAAAACAGAAUUUAUCUUUAUUGCACUGAACAAACAAACAAACAGCACACAAGAACAUCCUAGCUAUAGAACAAAAUAAUAUGAGAAAAGGAUGAAUUUGUGCUGCUUUCACUACACUGAAAGUGCCGCUUUUGC